GAUGAACGCUGGCGGCGUGCCUAAUACAUGCAAGUCGAGCGAACAGAUGAGGAGCUUGCUCCUCUGACGUUAGCGGCGGACGGGUGAGUAACACGUGGAUAACCUACCUAUAAGACUGGGAUAACUACGGGAAACCGGAGCUAAUACCGGAUAAUAUAUUGAACCGCAUGGUUCAAUAGUGAAAGACGGUUUUGCUGUCACUUAUAGAUGGAUCCGCGCCGCAUUAGCUAGUUGGUAAGGUAACGGCUUACCAAGGCAACGAUGCGUAGCCGACCUGAGAGGGUGAUCGGCCACACUGGAACUGAGACACGGUCCAGACUCCUACGGGAGGCAGCAGUAGGGAAUCUUCCGCAAUGGGCGAAAGCCUGACGGAGCAACGCCGCGUGAGUGAUGAAGGUCUUCGGAUCGUAAAACUCUGUUAUUAGGGAAGAACAAAUGUGUAAGUAACUAUGCACGUCUUGACGGUACCUAAUCAGAAAGCCACGGCUAACUACGUA
rnacentral:rRNA from 1 species